UCGAUAUGAGCUCUCUACAGACAACAAUACUCCAGGGGUGCCUACUGCCUACUCAACAAUGGUUACCUCAGAGUUCCAACAUCCAAGGUGUACCAUACGUGGAAACUCAAGAACCUAGUUCUAUGUUCUCUGAUAUUAUCAGAAACGUACAAGGCACUAGCACAUCUCGUCAUGGGAAUCCAUUUGUGUAGACAGAUAUCGGCCAAUGCAACGUGACCGCUGCUAGUGAUACCAUGGAUGCUUGCAAGUUUUGAUAGUGCACUGACAAAACCUGUUGUUCCCUUCUUUCUUGUCAUGAGGUUACG